rnacentral:misc_RNA from 1 species
UUUUAGAAAAUUUUUUUUUCAGAAAUAUUAUGAGUGAUCAACAGUUCUGUUUAAAAUGGAACAACUACGCUGUAUCUGUUACUUCCGUAUUCCGGGAACUACUGGCUGAGGAACAGAUGUGUGAUGUUACUCUUUCUACACAGGAUAAAAAGAUCAAGGCGCACAGAAUUGUUCUGACGGCUUGUUCAGCUUUCUUCAAGAAUAUUCUCAAGGAUGUCAACGCAUGGCAGCACCCUGUAGUCUUUCUGAAGGAUAUGAAGUACUCUGAUCUGCGAGGAAUAAUAGAGUUUAUUUAUCAUGGAGAAGUUAGCAUUGAUCAGAGUUCUCUUUCUUCAUUCUUACAGGCAGCAGAGAGUUUAAAGAUCAGAGGUUUGACGGAAGAUUGUAGAAAGGGUCCUGAAACUAAGAAGGUGGAUCCACCCAAGGAAGUUCCUCCUAGAUUGAAAAGUGAUAUGGUUCCUGGUGAGAAGGUGGAGGUGUACAGCAGGGAGGAGGAGGAGGAGGAAGAAGAGGAGGUGGAGGACGGGGUUGGGGAGGGGGUGGAAGAGGAGGAUAAUCUCAAUUAUGAGAUGGACGAAGAAGAAGAAGAGGCCAUGACGGAGCAAGAAGUAAAAAAUUCGAGUUUAGAAAAUAUUUAUGACGGAAAUUGUUUGGAAAAGUUUGAGAAUGAUGAGAUGUAUCUGGGUUCUCCAGGUCUUCUCCUGGAUCCAAGCCUAGGUAUACCUGGAUCUAAUCCAGCCCUGCUCGGAGCUAAGAAGACCUGCCCCUACUGCUUUCAGCAGCUCUCCUGGCACGCACUCUCCAGGCAUAUCAGGGAUAUGCAUAAAGCAAAAUCAGAAUUGGUGAACUGUCAGUACUGUUUGAAAACCUUCAGGAACAAGAAUUCUCUUGGUUGCCAUAUCUGGAGGUUCCAUAAGCGGGGCAGGGAACCCAAACAAACAUUCACUCAGAGCCUCAGCUAAAACCUUGUAAUCAAAAACAAAUUGAGAGUUCAGCUUUUUGUGUAAAAAUUGCUUUAAAAAAGUUGUUUUGAUUUCCUUUGUUGCCCUUCGAACUUUGUAUUUUUUUUUUAACUUUGGAUUUUUUUUUUAACUUUGGAUUUUUUUUUAUAGCUGAAUUUAUUAAACUAUUCUCAAACAAAAGCAUCACAUCACUUUAAAUUUACAAAUCUCGACCUCCACUAACCAUGGAAUGCGGCUUAGCCUUGCAAUGCACUCUCUUGAAAUCUCAAGAGUUUUUGAAGAAUUUGAAACGAAUUUUUUUCAUGGUAAACUUUUAGUGGAUUUUUUGAUAAUUUGGUUUAGACCAACCACAUUUAAAAAUAUUACCUUUAAUAAAAAUUAGAAAAUUAAUGUUAGUAGUUUCAAAAUAUUUUGCCAAAAACUGGAAAUGUCAAACUCUAUUUCAAAUGAAACAUUUCUAAAAAUAUAUUGCCAAAAAUUAAAAGAAAAAUUGGCAAUAAAGGUUUGCACCACCAUUAAUAUUAAAUGGUUUUUCUAUUUUUAUACGUUUUUUACCUUUUUUAAUCAAAAUGUAAAACUUGUUAAAUGAUUGAAUAUUGUAAAUAUAUACACAAAGCACUUCUGCAAUAAUAAUCACCGACU